rnacentral:rRNA from 1 species
AUGCAGUGUACCCGCGGCAAGACGGAAAGACCCCGUGAACCUUUACUAUAGCUUGACACUGAACAUUGAGCCUUGAUGUGUAGGAUAGGUGGGAGGCUUUGAAGUGUGGACGCCAGUCUGCAUGGAGCCGACCUUGAAAUACCACCCUUUAAUGUUUGAUGUUCUAACGUGGACCCGUUACCCGGGUUGCGGACAGUGUCUGGUGGGUAGUUUGACUGGGGCGGUCUCCUCCUAAAGAGUAACGGAGGAGCACGAAGGUUGGCUAAUCCUGGUCGGACAUCAGGAGGUUAGUGCAAUGGCAUAAGCCAGCUUGACUGCGAGCGUGACGGCGCGAGCAGGUGCGAAAGCAGGUCAUAGUGAUCCGGUGGUUCUGAAUGGAAGGGCCAUCGCUCAACGGAUAAAAGGUACUCCGGGGAUAACAGGCUGAUACCGCCCAAGAGUUCAUAUCGACGGCGGUGUUUGGCACCUCGAUGUCGGCUCAUCACAUCCUGGGGCUGAAGUAGGUCCCAAGGGUAUGGCUGUUCGCCAUUUAAAGUGGUACGCGAGCUGGGUUUAGAACGUCGUGAGACAGUUCGGUCCCUAUCUGCCGUGGGCGCUGGAGAACUGAGGGGGGCUGCUCCUAGUACGAGAGGACCGGAGUGGACGCAUCACUGGUGUUCGGGUUGUCAUGCCAAUGGCACUGCCCGGUAGCUAAAUGCGGAAGAGA